AAAAGUAGUCUAAAGAUAGACAUUGCUUCUAUUUUGGUUUUGAUCAUUUCAAAACUACUUUUGCUUCUUCCUGCAGCUUCCAUCUUCUACCCCCCCCCUCUCUCUCUCUAUCUAUUUUCCCUCAAUUACUCUCUUUUCUCCUAACCACUUUUCUUCCUUUCUUCUUUCUAUAUGCUUGCUAAAUCCCUCAAAUUCGUCUCUCUUUAUUUCUUCUUCAUUUUCUCACAAUCUUUCAUUCAUUUAUAUGCAAUCUCUCAUAUUUCUUUUUGUUUUUGUUUUUCCAGGUUGUAGAUCUAUAUGAAGAUGCAAACUAACAUUAAAUGCUUUCGUAGGUUGUAGAUCUACGCGUAUCGUAGAUCUACAAAAAUGAAGGUGUAUAAGGUUAAACAACAUCGAUAAAAUAAAAAUUAUCUAAAAAAUAUACAAAAUAUAGUGGAUGGCAUUUUAGAUUGAAAAAUGUUGUUGUUGUUUAGAACAAAGAGAUGGUGAGAAACCGUGAAGAGAGAGUGAGAGUUUAGCAAAUGUUGAUUUUUUUCUGAGGAGGAAGGAAGUGGUUCUAAAGAGAUGUUGGCUUGCUCUCUACUGGAUUUGAGGAAACUUGCUUCUUGAAGAUUCUUAAUGAAUAAAUGUGUUAUGGACAGAUAAUAGUUUGUUUUGGGUCAUUAGAAACCAUCAACAGUAAAAACAAA